CGUCAUUGAUGAACCAAAAUAAUUAAAACUCAACAGAUAACCUCAAACCACACUAGUUCAUUGGACCAUGUUUAGGGAAGUAGUGGUUUGUAUUUGUCUCUAUCAAAGGGGUGUUUAAAUUUCGGGGAUUAGGGAUUUUUUUUAGCAAUUCUUUUGCAUGUAACACUUUUUCGCUCAUUCCGAUUCCUCCUAAACCUCUCCCCAAAUCUUUAUAUUCUAAUAGAAGAGACCCCACAGACUCCCAUCUCUCUCUCUAUAUAGCUGCUUCCUCUCUCCUUCGUCCUUGCUUCUUCCUCGCACUUUCGGUAUAAGAAACUACACAGAAGAGUCCCUAAGGCCUAAAACUUCUCCAGCCGGGGACUGGAGAAUAGGCAAUGCAAAGGAGAACACAUAACACCCAUUUAAUGAUAUCCCUUAUCAUUAUAUAAUAACUUAAUAAGCAGUAAUAGGCUAGUUUCCUUACAAAUGUACUUAAACAGAUUCAGUCUCUUGUGAAUUCAAUUUGAUAUGAAACGAGGUGAAGCGACCGGGGCCGGGGGUAAGCCUAUCCCCGUCCCGUCCCUGGUAACUCACCGGCGUUAUAUCCCGAAGCGGGGCGAUGUUCUAAAGCGCAUCUUGUCCCGCCUCUUCCUCUUUCCGUCGCGGGGCUGCAUCGCCAGGGGGAAGGUGUGCCCCUCACAUAGUGGUGAUCAAAAGCAGGAAAAAGGGAAGGGCUAAUAAUUGUUGUACCAUUUCCUUGCAGGUUG
rnacentral:lncRNA from 1 species